CGCUCCUUGAUUUUAAUUAAUAAGGAGUCGGACCUGCCCAGUGAUAAGUAUUUAACGGCCGCGGUACUCUGACCGUGCAAAGGUAGCAUAAUCAUUUGCCCUAUAAUUGAGGGCUAGUAUGAAUGGUUUGACAAGAACAAUACUGUCUCUUUCAAAAUUUCUAGAAUUUAUUCUUUAGGUGAAGAAACCUAAAUAAAAUUAAAAGACAAGAAGACCCUAUCGAGCUUAAACUCUUUUUAUAAAAUAAAAAAAAUUAAUGAUAUUUUUUGUUAUAAAAAAUUUUGGUUGGGGCGACUAAGGAACAAAAAAAGCUUCUUUAUUUAAUAAAGACAAAUGUGUAUUGAUCCAUAAAAUCUUGAUUAAAAGAAUUAGUUACCGUAGGGAUAACAGCAUAAUCUUUUUUAAGAGUUCUUAUCGAAAAAAAGGUUUGUGACCUCGAUGUUGGACUAAAAUUUCCUAAUAGAUGCAGACGUCUUUAAGGG
rnacentral:rRNA from 1 species